rnacentral:rRNA from 1 species
GUGUCAGCAGCCGCGGUAAUACAGAGGGUGCGAGCGUUGUUCGGAAUUAUUGGGCGUAAAGCGCGUGUAGGCGGCUAUUUAAGUCGGGUGUGAAAGCCCUCAGCUCAACUGAGGAAGUGCGCCCGAGACUGAAUGGCUUGAGUACCGGAGAGGGUGGCGGAAUUCCCCAAGUAGAGGUGAAAUUCGUAGAGAUGGGGAGGAACACCGGAGGCGAAGGCGGCCACCUGGACGGUAACUGACGCUGAGACGCGAAAGCGUGGGGAGCAAACAGGAUUAGAUACCCCGGUAGUCC